GAUGAACGCUGGCGGCGUGCCUAAUACAUGCAAGUCGAGCGAACGGACGAGAAGCUUGCUUCUCUGAUGUUAGCGGCGGACGGGUGAGUAACACGUGGAUAACCUACCUAUAAGACUGGGAUAACUUCGGGAAACCGUAGCUAAUACCGGAUAAUAUUUUGAACCGCAUGGUUCAAAAGUGAAAGACGGUCUUGCUGUCACUUAUAGAUGGAUCCGCGCUGCAUUAGCUAGUUGGUACGGUAACGGUUUACCAAGGCAAGGAUGCAUAGCCGACGUGAGAGAGGGAUAGGCCACACUGGAACUGAGACACGGUCCAGACUCCUACGGGAGGCAGCAGUAGGGAAUCUUACGCAAUGGGCGAAAGCCUGACGGAGCAACGCCGCGUGAGUGAUGAAGGUCUUCGGAUCGUAAAACUCUGUUAUUAGGGAAGAACAUAUGUGUAAGUAACUGUGCACAUCUUGACGGUACCUAAUCAGAAAGCCACGGCUAACUACGUG
rnacentral:rRNA from 1 species